rnacentral:tRNA from 1 species
GCGGGCGUGGUUUAGUGGUAAAACUGGAGCUUCCCAAGCUCUCGCUGUGGGUUCGAUUCCCAUCGCCCGCUCCA